rnacentral:rRNA from 1 species
GGUAGUCCACGCCCUAAACGAUGUAUGCUAGAUCGGCCAGGCUCUGACGUCUGGCUGGUCGGAGAGAAAUUGUUAAGCAUACCGCCUGGGGAGUACGGUCGCAAGGCUAAAACUCAAAGGAAUUGACGGGGGGCUCACACAAGCGGUGGAGCAUGUUGCUUAAUUCGAAGCAACGCGCAGAACCUUACCUGGGUUUGACAUGCAUGGAUCAACCUCGUGAAAGCGAGGCCACAGCCGCAAGGCCGGAACAUGCACAGGUGCUGCAUGGCUGUCGUCAGCUCGUGCUGUGAAGUGUCGGGUUAAG